CAUCUUCCAGUAAACUGUUUUGUCUUUCAUUGUUCCUUUCUCUCCUCUCUCUCCUUUCCUCUCCUCUCCCUCUCCUCUCUCUCAUUUCCUCUCCUCACUCUCCUUUCUCUCUCUCCUCUCUCCUCCCCCUCCUCUUUCCUCUCCCUCCUUUCUCUCUCCUCUCUCUCUCCUUUCUCUCUCCUUUCUCUCUCCUCUCUCCUUUCUCAUCUCUCCUCUCUCAUCUCUCUCUUUUCUCUCUCCUCUCUCUCCUCUCUCUCUCAUCUCUCUUUUCUCUCUCCUCUCUCACCUUUCUCUCUCCUCUCUCUCUCCUUUCUCUCUCUCCUCUCUCCAUCUCCUCUCAUCACUACUCUUUCUCCUCUCUCCUUUCGCUCUCCUUUCUCUCUCCUUUCUCUCUCCUCACUCUCCUCUCUCUCCUCUCCCUCCUCCUCCUCUCCUCUCUUUCCUCUCUCUUCUCUCUCCUUUCUCUCUCUCUCUCCUCUCCUUUCCUCUCCUCUCUUUCCUCUCUCUCCUCUCUCUCCUCUUUCUCUCUCUCCUCUCUCCUUUCUCUCUCCUCUCUCUCCUCCUUUCUCUCUCCUCUCUCUCCUCUCAUAUGUCCUCUCAUAUCUCCUCUCAUCUCUCUCUGAUCUCUCUUUGAUCUCUCUCCUCUCUCUCAUCCCUCUCAUCUCUCUCUCUCUCUCUCCUUUCUCUCUCCUUUCUCCUCUCCUCUCUCCUUUCUCCCUCCUCUCUCUCCUUUCUCUCUGCUCCCUCUCCUCUCCCUCCUCUCUCUCCUUUCUCUCUCCUCCCUCUCCUCUCCCUCUCCUCUCUCCUUUCCUCUCCUCUCUUUUUUCUUUCUCUCUCCUCUCUCUCCUCUCUCUCUCUCCUUUCUCUCUCCUCUCCCCUCUCUCCUUUCCUCUCCUCUUUCCUCUCUCUUCUUUCUCUCUCCUCUACAUCUCCUCUCUCUCUUGUCUCUCUCUCCUUUCUCUCUCAUCUCCUUUCUCUCUCAUCUCCUUUCUCUCUCAUCUAUCUCCUCUCAUCUCUCCUCUCCUCUCUCUCUCCUCUCAUCUCUCCUCUCUCGCCUCUCUCUCUCCUCUCAUCUCUCCUCUCAUCUCUCCUCUCUCUCCUUGCUCUCUCAUCUCUCUCCUCUCUCUUUUCUCUCUCCUCUCUCUCCUUUCUCUCCUCUCUCUCCUUUCUCUCCUCUCUCUCCUUUCUCUCCUCUCCUCUCUCUCAUCUCUAUCUCCUCUCAUCACUCCUCGCUCUCCUUUCUCCUCUCUCUCCUUUCUCCUCUCUCCUUUCUCCUCUCUCCUUCCUUUCUCUCCUCUCUCUCUCCUUUCUCCUUCCUUUCUCUCUCCUCUCUCUCUCCUCUCUCCUUUCUCCUUCCUUUCUCUCUCCUCUCUCUCUCUCUCCUUCCUUUCUCUCUCCUCUCUCUCUCUCCUUCCUUUCUCUCUCCUCUCUCUCUCUCUCUCUCUCUCUCCUCUCUCCUUUCUCCAUCCUUUCUCUCUCCUCUCUCUCUCUCUCUCUCCUCUCUCCUUUCUCCUUCCUUUGUCUCCUCUCUCCUUUCUCCUUCCUUUCUCUCUCCUCUCUCUCUCUCUCCUCUCUCCUUUCUCCUUCCUUCCUCUCUCCUUUCUCCUUCCUUUCUCUCUCUCCUUUCUCCUUCCUUUCUCUCUCUCCUGUCUCCUUCCUUUCUCUCUCUCCUUUCUCUCCUCCCUCCUUUCUCCUUCCUUUCUCUCUCCUUUCUCCUUCCUUUCUCCUUCCUUUCUCUCUCUCCUUUCUCCUUCCUUCCUUUCUCUCUCUCCUUUCUCCUUCCUUUCUCUCUCUCCUUUCUCCUUCCUUUCUCUCUCUCCUCCCUCCUCUCUCUCUCUCUCCUCUCCCCACAGCUUGGAUCAAGAAGUAAACACUCACACAGACUGA
rnacentral:lncRNA from 8 species